rnacentral:rRNA from 1 species
AACGAACGCUGGCGGCGUGCCUAACACAUGCAAGUCGUGCGAGAAAAGUUCCUUCGGGAGCGAGUAAAAGCGGCGCACGGGUGAGUAACACGUAGGUAACCUGCCCCCCCAGUCUGGAACAACUAGAGGAAACUCUAGCUAAUGCCGGAUAAGACCACGGCCCCCUCGGGGGCUGCGGCCAAAGAUGGCCUCUACUUGUACGCUAUCGCUGAGGGAUGGGCCUGCGGGCCAUUAGCUUGUUGGUGAGGUAACGGCUCACCAAGGCUGUGAUGGCUAGCUGGUCUGAGAGGAUGACCAGCCACACUGGGGACUGAGACACGGCCCAGACUCCUACGGGAGGCAGCAGUGGGGAAUAUUGCGCAAUGGGCGAAAGCCUGACGCAGCGACGCCCGCGGUGGGUGAUGAAGGCC